UACGGGGGGUGCGAGCGUUGUCCGGAAUCACUGGGCGUAAAGGGCGCGUAGGUGGUUUGAUAAGCGUGCGGUGAAAGCUCGGAGCUCAACUCCGAGUCGGCCGUGCGAACUGGGCUCACUGGAGCAUAGUAGAGGCAGGUGGAAUUCCGGGUGUAGCGGUGGAAUGCGUAGAGAUCCGGAAGAACACCGGUGGCGAAGGCGGCCUGCUGGGCUAUGGCUGACACUGAGGCGCGACAGCGUGGGGAGCAAACAGG
rnacentral:rRNA from 1 species